ensembl:lncRNA
CUCAAAGGGGACUGAGCUCCUUCUGGAGGGAGAGCUGGAGCAUGAGUGGGGUGCUCCCUUGCUGCCUUUGAAUAUGCAGGCCACGCGAGAUGUGGAGGUUCACAAAAAUGGAGAAAUUUCCUGGGAAAACAGGUCAUCAUUCUUUUGAAUGUUUCUUUAAAGCAAAGUGUUCCUGCUGCACCAGACUGCACCCUAGGCUGCCAAUUUCACAUCCUAAAUGUGUCCCUAAUCUGGCUGCUGCUCUCUUCCACUUCCAGACCAUGAGUCCAACUCCCCAACAUAAUUUUGCAUCUUAAUUCAUCUCUCUGCCCCCCUCAUGCCUUUCUCAUAUCCAGUCUUCUAACAGCAGCCCCAAAGAGCUCUUAACACCCAAGUCAGAUCUUUGGUGGCCUGAGAACCAGGCUUCUUUCCUGGGCCUGACUAGUUCUACAUGCCUUCCACAUCAAACCCUUCUCUUCUGUUCUCUUGCUCAUCCAACACCCUGAGGCCACUGUCUCCGCUCUGCCCUGGAUCUCCACUGAACAGAAGAGAGAGGAAUGCCAGAGAAGAAAGAAGUGGGAGAGGAGGAAAUAGGAGACCUAGCAACAUGCUGGAAACUAACCUGGAGGAAGCAAAUGACACUACAGGGUGGAGGAAGCAGGGGCUGGGGCUGCAGCGAGGGAGAGGGACACAGAGAGGGCCUGUGCUUACCCCGCAGAGCCCAAGAGAACCUGGGGACUUGGGAAUGCCAUGAGCUGCUGAAGGCCGGAGGAGACAUCAAGACUGGAAAUAUGAGAACUGAUUGAAAGUCUGAUACAGAACAUAUAUGGAAUGCCACCGUGUGCCUGGCAAUGUACUAGACACCAGGGAUGCAGAAGUUACCUGUGAUAAUCAGCAAGGCUCCUGGCACCUCCAAAGGAAAAUAAAGCAGACUGUUUGAUAUAAAUAAACAUAAAAGUCAUGUAAAAACUCAAACAUCAAUUUCGUGUUCUGCUUCAGAAUGUUAACUUGAUGGAGUGGG